AGCGAACGCUGGGGCAGGCUUAACACAUGCAAGUCGAACGCCCCGCAAGGGGAGUGGCAGACGGGUGAGUAACACGUGGGAACGUACCCUUUGGUUCGGAAUAACUUGGGGAAACUCAAGCUAAUACCGGAUAAGCCCUUAUGGGGAAAGGUUUACUGCCGAAGGAUCGGCCCGCGUCUGAUUAGCUAGUUGGUGAGGUAAUGGCUCACCAAGGCGACGAUCAGUAGCUGGUCUGAGAGGAUGAUCAGCCACACUGGGACUGAGACACGGCCCAGGCUCCUACGGGAGGCAGCAGUGGGGAAUAUUGGACAAUGGGGGCAACCCUGAUCCAGCCAUGCCGCGUGAGUGAUGAAGGCCUUAGGGUUGUAAAGCUCUUUUACCCGGGACGAUAAUGACUGUACCGGGAGAAUAAGCCCCGGCUAACUUCGUGCCAGCCGCCGCGGUAA
rnacentral:rRNA from 1 species